rnacentral:piRNA from 1 species
UGAAUAACUGACCAAGAUGUGCUAAAACC